AUUGAACGCUGGCGGCAGGCUUAACACAUGCAAGUCGAGCGGGGGGAGGUAGCUUGCUACCGGACCUAGCGGCGGACGGGUGAGUAAUGCUUAGGAAUCUGCCUAUUAGUGGGGGACAACAUCUCGAAAGGGAUGCUAAUACCGCAUACGUCCUACGGGAGAAAGCAGGGGAUCUUCGGACCUUGCGCUAAUAGAUGAGCCUAAGUCGGAUUAGCUAGUUGGUGGGGUAAAGGCCUACCAAGGCGACGAUCUGUAGCGGGUCUGAGAGGAUGAUCCGCCACACUGGGACUGAGACACGGCCCAGACUCCUGCGGGAGGCAGGAGUGGGGAAUAGUGGACAAUGGGGGGAACCCUGAUCCAGCCGUGCCGCGUGUGUGAAGAAGGCCUUAUGGUUGUAAAGCACUUUAAGCGAGGAGGAGGCUACUCUAGUUAAUACCUAGGGAUAGUGGACGUUACUCGCAGAAUAAGCACCGGCUAACUCUGUGCCAGCAGCCGCGGUAA
rnacentral:rRNA from 1 species